rnacentral:rRNA from 1 species
UGGGGAAUCUUCCGCAAUGGGCGAAAGCCUGACGGAGCGACACCGCGUGGAGGAUGAAACCCUUUUCGGGCGUAAACUCCUGUUCUGAGGGACGAAAUUUUUGACGGUACCUCAGGAGAAAGCACCGGCUAAUUCUGUGCCAGCAGCCGCGGUAAGACAGAAGGUGCAAGCGUUACUCGGAAUUACUGGGCGUAAAGCGUCCGCAGGUGUCCUUGUAAGUCUGGUGUCAAAACGCAGAGCUCAACUCAGCGUCCGUACCGGAAACUGCAGGGAUUGAGUCACUCAGAGGUAUCUGGAAUGCCGUGUGUAGGGGUAAAAUCCGUUGAUCCACGGUAGAACGCCAAAAGCAAAGGCAGGAUACUAGGAGUGCACUGACACUCAGGGACGAAAGCGUGGGGAGCAAACGGG